rnacentral:rRNA from 1 species
AUCAGCUAGUUGGUAGGGUAAUGGCCUACCAAGGCUACGACGGGUAGCUGGUCUAAGAGGAUGGCCAGCCACACUGGAACUGAGACACGGUCCAGACUCCUACGGGAGGCAGCAGUGGGGAAUCUUGCGCAAUGGGCGAAAGCCUGACGCAGCGACGCCGCGUGGGUGACGAAGGCCUUCGGGUUGUAAAGCCCUGUGGGGUAGAACGAACUGGCAUCGGGCGUAAUAUCCCGGUGUCUUGACGGUACUGCCUUAGCAAGCAUCGGCUAACUCUGUGCCAGCAGCCGCGGUAAGACAGAGGAUGCGAACGUUGCUCGGAUUUACUGGGCGUAAAGCGCGUGUAGGCGGUCUCGUUAGUCGGGUGUGAAGCCCGGGCUCAACCCGGGAAGUGCACCCGAUACUGCGAGACUGGGGUACUGGAAGAGGAGAGCGGAAUUCCCGGUGUAGAGGUG